rnacentral:rRNA from 1 species
GACGAACGCUGGCGGCGUGCCUAACACAUGCAAGUCAAGGGGUAGCAAUACCACUGGCGCACGGGUGAGUAACGCGUAGGUAAUCUGCCCCAAUCCCAGACAUAACAUCGAGAAAUCGGUGCUAAUAUCUGAUGAGGCACUUCGGUGUCAAAGACUUCGGUUGGAUUGGGAUGAGCCUGCGUCUGAUUAGCUAGUUGGUGAGGUAAUGGCUCACCAAGGCGACGAUCAGUAGCUGGUCUGAGAGGACGAUCAGCCACACUGGAACUGAGACACGGUCCAGACUCCUACGGGAGGCAG